rnacentral:tRNA from 1 species
AGAUGUGAAAUAGAUAUUACUAUAUUUAGCUACGGACUAAAAUGAUUUAACAUCUU